rnacentral:rRNA from 1 species
AACGAACGCUGGCGGCAUGCCUAACACAUGCAAGUCGAACGGUAACAGGUCUUCGGAUGCUGACGAGUGGCGAACGGGUGAGUAAUACAUCGGAACGUGCCCGAUCGUGGGGGAUAACGGAGCGAAAGCUUUGCUAAUACCGCAUACGAUCUACGGAUGAAAGCAGGGGACCGCAAGGCCUUGCGCGAACGGAGCGGCCGAUGGCAGAUUAGGUAGUUGGUGGGAUAAAAGCUUACCAAGCCGACGAUCUGUAGCUGGUCUGAGAGGACGACCAGCCACACUGGGACUGAGACACGGCCCAGACUCCUACGGGAGGCAGCAGUGGGGAAUUUUGGACAAUGGGCGCAAGCCUGAUCCAGCAAUGCCGCGUGCAGGAUGAAGGCCUUCGGGUUGUAAACUGCUUUUGUACGGAACGAAAAGGCUCUGGUUAAUACCUGGGGCUCAUGACGGUACCGUAAGAAUAAGCACCGGCUAACUACGUGCCAGCAGCCGCCGUAAGAC